rfam:Ovis aries breed Texel chromosome 7, whole genome shotgun sequence.
UCCCUAGUGGCUCAGAUGGUAAAGCGUCCACCUACAAUGCGGAAGACCAGGGUUCGAUCCCUGGGUUGGGAA